UGACCUCAAAUCAGGCGAGACUACCCGCUGAACUUAAGCAUAUCAAUAAGCGGAGGA
rnacentral:rRNA from 2 species